CAGCCGCCACGGGAAUACGGAGGGUGCAAGCGUUAAUCGGAAUUACUGGGCGUAAAGCGCACGCAGGCGGUCUGACAAGUCAGAUGUGAAAUCCCCGGGCUUAACCUGGGAACUGCAUUUGAAACUGUCAGGCUGGAGUCUUGUAGAGGGGGGUAGAAUUCCAGGUGUAGCGGUGAAAUGCGUAGAGAUCUGGAGGAAUACCGGUGGCGAAGGCGGCCCCCUGGACAAAGACUGACGCUCAGGUGCGAAAGCGUGGGGAGCAAACAGGAUUAGAUACCCCUGUAGUCCCUGUCUCUUAUAA
rnacentral:rRNA from 1 species